GAUGAACGCUGGCGGCGUGCCUAAUACAUGCAAGUCGAGCGAAGCGGGGACGGGUGAGUAAUACGUGGAUAACCUCCUAUAAGACUGGGGUAACUUCGGGAAACCGGAGCUAAACCGGUUACUUAUAGAUGGAUCCGCGCUGCAUUAGCUAGUUGGUACGGUAACGGCCUACCAAGGCAACGAUGCAUAGCCGAGCUGAGAGGAUGAUCAGCCACACUGGAACUGAGACACGGUCCAGACUCCUACGGGAGGCAGCAGUGGGGAAUCUUCCGCAAUGGGCGAAAGCCUGACGGAGCAACGCCGCGUGAGUGAUGAAGGUCUUCGGAUCGUAAAGCUCUUUUAGUUGGGAAGCGGUACCUAAUCAGAAAGCCACGGCUAACUUCGUGCCAGCAGCCGCGGUAAUAC
rnacentral:rRNA from 1 species